rnacentral:rRNA from 1 species
CUAGUUGGUAGGGUAACGGCCUACCAAGGCUACGAUCCGUAGCCGGCCUGAGAGGGCGGUCGGCCACACUGACACUGACAUACGGGUCAGACUCCUACGGGAGGCAGCAGUCGGGAAUUUUGGGCAAUGGGCGAAAGCCUGACCCAGCAACGCCGCGUGAAGGAUGAAAUCCCUCGGGAUGUAAACUUCGCAAGAACGGGAAGAAUAAGUAGGGGACAAUACCCCCUAUGAUGACGGGACCGUUUGUAAGCUCCGGCUAACUCCGUGCCAGCAGCCGCGGUAAUACGGGGGGAGCAAGCGUUGUUCGGAUUUACUGGGCGUAAAGGGCGCGUAGGCGGCCAGUGCAAGUCAGUUGUGAAAUCUCCGAGCUUAACUCGGAAAGGUCAACUGAUACUGCUCGGCUAGAGUGCGGAAGGGGCAACUGGAAUUCUUGGUGUAGCGGUGAAAUGCGUAGAUAUCAAGAGGAACACCUGCGGCGAAGGCGGGUUGCUGGGCCGACACUGACGCUGAGGCGCGAAAGCUAGGGGAGCGAACGGGAUUAGAUACCCCGGUAGUCCUAGCCUUAAACGAUGAAUGCUUGGUGUCUGGGGUUAUAUAGUCCCCGGGUGCCGUCGCUAACGCUUUAAGCAUUCCGCCUGGGGAGUACGGUCGCAAGACUGAAACUCAAAGGAAUUGACG